GGGUCAGUAGGUUGGUCGUGCCUAUGGUAUGUACUGGCUUUACUGAUUCCUCCUUCUUGAAGAACUGUAAUGUCAUUAAUUUGGUGUUGCAGGGAAACAGGACUGUUACUUUGAAAAAAUUAGAGUGUUUAAAGCAGGCUAACGCUUGAAUACAUUAGCAUGGAAUAAUGAAAUAGGACGUUCGAUCCUAUUUUGUUGGUUUCUAGGAUUGACGUAAUGAUUAAUAGGGA
rnacentral:rRNA from 1 species